rnacentral:rRNA from 1 species
CCUACGCGAGACAGCAGUGGGGAAUAUUGCACAAUGGGGGAAACCCUGAUGCAGCGACGCCGCGUGAGUGAAGAAGUAUUUCGGUACGUAAAGCUCUAUCAGCAGGGAAGAAAAUGACGGUGCCUGACUAAGAAGCAACGGCUAACUACGUGCCAGCAGCCGCGGUAAUACGUAGGGGGCAAGCGUUAUACGGAUUUAAUGGGUGGAAAGGGAGAGUAGACGGCAGCGCAAGUCUGAAGUGAAAUCCCAUGGCUUAACCAUGGAACUGCUUUGGAAACUGGGCAGCGGGAGUGCAGGAGAGGUAAGCGGAAUUCCUAGUGUAGCGGUGAAAUGCGUAGAUAUUAGGAGGAACACCAGGGGCGAAGGCGGCUUACUGGACUGUAACUGACGUUGAGGCUCGAAAGCGUGGGGAGCAAACAGGAUUAGAUACCCCUGUAGUC